AGAUCAGGCUGAACAAUGUUGCUGUGCAGGCAAGAGUCUGCUCUGCAGCAGGCUCUGGAAGCUAGAGUUACCCCUCCGAUGGGCCAUUGCUGGGAAAAGGGUGAUAGCUGUCCUGUAGCUUUGGAUGUCUCAGGGUGCUAUGCUGAAUGCCGUUGGAAUCAGCGACCUGGAUGUGCAGAAUGCCCAGAGACAGGAGCCGGCAGUAGGAGAGACAAGGAGGCUCUGCUGUCUCUGCCUCCCAGCCUGGUGGAGAGUCAGUCACUGUUAAUGGAUCAUCCAAGACUCAUGAGGUGAAUGAAACCACUUGGUAUCUGUGAUGGGUGAGCUCUAAAGAUGGAGUUCAUUUUUCCAGGGUUGCCAGUAGGUGACUGAAGAGUUGGUUUCUUAAGCAUCAUGGACUGGUUGUCGAGAAGGAACUGCAGGCUUGCUUGCCUUUUCUACUGUAUUUCAUGAGAGCAGUUGGAGGAAGCCCCAUCACCUAGCCACCUCACCUCACCUGUUCCUGCUGGAGGAACCACAGCUCUGCCUUAGGGGAACACAACUGCAUCAAAUGGAUCUACGCCUCGGGGCAAUGCAUUAUUCUUUAUUGAUUCCAACUCUACCUUAUUAUUGUUGCUUAGCGAGGAACUAAUGUGAUUUCUAAGGAAGCCAUGUGGCUUUCAGAUGGAUGAAGUAAGAGUUUAUUUCCCCUGGGAUGACAUAUCAUCCUCUCUUCAAUUAAAACCUGUGAAGGAAAAUUAA
rnacentral:lncRNA from 1 species